GGCGGAGCCAGAGGAACGCUCACUUCCGCGUUGUACACAGGACGUUCCUGAUGCGAUCGCGAGGUGACGAUGAGCCUGGCAAAGAGGGUGUCACUGUGGUCGGUGGAAGACGUGUUGGAGUGGCUGCAGGAACAAUAUCCAACCCAAAUGAUCACGCUCCAAAAAGCCAUCAUUAAACACGAUAUAUCAGGUCGUGCAUUGCUCAGGAUGAAAGACUAUCACCUGGAAUCUUUUGGAGUGGAGCCUGAGGAGCAAGAGCCCAUCUUGCAGGAAAUCUUCCUUCUCAAAGUACAAGAAGAAAUCAGUGAGCUGAAUGACAUUUAUGAUGAAUGUUUUUCAUCAUACAGAUGAACAAAUGCAGCUUUUCCUUAUGUAUCCAUCCAUCCAUCCAUCUUUCGACGGAAAGGUAGGAGUGAUCGAAGUAAUGUCGGAAGAUGAAGAGAAUCGUGAGGAAUGAUGCGAAACACCAGUCUCCUGUGUAAUAUAUUACCGUGCAGAUGGAGUUGAUUCGUUUUACGAGUGUCUUCCUCUCUGUUCUUCUCCAUCAUCCUUCUGUUUCUGCAGUGAGUCUUUGGAAAUAUUUCUGUAGUCGUUACGAUUGCAGACAUGAGUUUACAUACUGUACACCUUGGCCAAAAAUGUUUCCCAUAGUGCACAUAUUACUUUUCAUCAGACAAUGUCUGUUAUGCUUCUUAGAAUGUGUACUUUAUUUCAACAUAAAGAUAUUUAGUUUAUUUACCACAUGCACUUAUCGCACUUUUUAUUCACUACGUCAGAUUUUCAGUUCUGUACAGUCUGUUAAAACCCAAAUUGACACCCAGGAAUGAACAAACCUUUGUUUUAAAGGUGUCCCAGAACCUCCUGAUCACAACUAUGGAAUUAGUGGAGUUGAAGGUAGUAGAUAAUGAAAAAGAAGAAAAACAUUCCAAGCUCAGACACAUUUCAGUUCACUUUUAAUCCUUUUUUGAAGAGAGACUGCCAUCUAUUGGGCUCAGAAAAAAAACACCAAAUGCUUCAUGAGGCCUUAUUUGGCCAUCACUAAAGUUGGACCGAAUGUGACAUCAUCCACUGACAUCAUCAACAAGGAAGCCAAACUCUCCAUUUAAAAAGUUUGGCAAAAAUUUGCUGUUGAUCGAAACUUUGCUUUUUUUUAAUACAUAUGUAUAAAUUUUGGAUUAUCCCAUGUUUUUACAUAAUAAACUAAAUUUGUUCAUGAUACCAUGAAUCUCAGAUGGUUCCUGAGAAGGAAUCAAACUUGUUGAGCUCUAGAGUUUUGUUUCAGAGGCAUUGGGUUGAUUUUUAGUUGUUUUUUUUUUCCAUUUCUUGAAUGAAAGAAGGGACUGGAUCUUCAGGUAGGCCCUUAAAUAGAACCAAAGGUUUCUUCUUCAGUUUCUUCUCAAAUUCUGCUAAUUAGUCAUUUGUGGAAUGUCCUGUAAUCUUCUUGGUGUAUGUAAAUGUACGUUAUAAAUUUUAUAAUCUGUCCAGCAUUCUGUUGAGUCAUGACCUGUCUUGAAUGUGUAAACUUCUUCAACACCUGGUUAAAUAUUCAGUCUUUCUCUUCCUGUUUUUCUCUUACAUACACUGACUGAAACAGAGUUUCCAAUCAAGCAAAUUGAGUGUCAUUCCUAGCACAUCAAACAGGAACUCUUAUCAGAGCCCCGAGGAUUUAAGUAGUGUGUGUUGAGGAUUUUCACCGACAUCGCGGUCAAAGGAACAUGGUUAGACUUAUGCCAUGUUUGCAACAUUGGUUUGCAGAAAACAACCCAGUGCUAUUGAAUUUUGAUGUUCAGUUCUGGCUUCCAAAGGAAUAUGAGGCUCCCAAAAAAUUAUUUUCACCAUCAGUUCUGUAAACACCGUGUGGUCUUGUAACUUGCAGUGUUUGUAAAGUAAAAGUGAUGUGGUCUUUCUGUUUCCAACCAACUCAGAGGUAGUGAAUAUACUUUGGUAAAUUAACUUGGUGUUAGGUUCUUUUAUGUGGUGAGUAAUCUCAAAAAGAACUGGACAGGAAACGGACUUCAAAGUUUAGAUGUUGUAUUGAAAAAGUUUGAACACUGAUACAGAGAGUCAUCUGCAGCGCUGAGGUCUUUGACCAGAUCACAUGCAAACAUCUAGAACAAAGAGCCCAGAUCUCCUAUCUAUGCUAACUUUUGUUCCUCCAGUCAGCCCCAUGUGGGUGGUCCUUAGCCUGUCGCGAAUCAGCAGCAAUGUGAUUGGUUGCAAAGUGAAGUAGGCGGUUAUAAGUGGGUGUCUGCUCACGUUAAGUUCAAGGUUGUUAUGUAAAAAUCUUAGUGUUUGUGUGUGUCAAUGCCAAAUAAUAAAUCAGCGUUUGUGCUGUCCAAAUACAUGCGAAUACUUUGGUUUUAUCAGUUAGACAGCUAUAAAAAUAUCAGAUAGUUUUUAUCAAAUACAAGGACAUUUUUUAUGUCAGCCAUUUUGAAAAGCAGUUAGGUAGAGAUCAGAGAGUUACAAGGACAUUUUGGAUGUGCGUCGGGUCCAGUUUGUGACAUGCAUCAUAGAACACUCUGAUACAUGAGUUUUAUUGUGUUUGUUUACUUAUAAAGCAUGAGGCAUUACUUUCCCAAUGUCUUUCAAGUAAACUCAACUUGUUAGACUUUACAGUGUAGCAUAAGGAUGUUCCAGCACAGCGGAUUCAUACUAAACCUUGAUACGCAAACUGACAGCACUGACAUUUUGUAUCAUUUUAACUUACGCGUUGUCCUGCACAGUGUUGGAUGGGGGACUGGGCUUUAAACUUUGGCAGAAAAGUCAGUAAAACUAAACUUAAAACUUCCUUAUAUCAUGGCAUGAAAAGAAGAUUAAUGUCAAUACUUUAGAGAAACCGUUGCACAAGCUCAAGCGCGGGUACUCUAGUGAGUCUAUGGGACCCGUCAAAGUGUUGUUAUUUGACGUGCUGGAAUGACAGUGUGUCUGUUUCAUUUCUUUGUACUUAAAUGUGUGAAUUCCAUAUCUUGUUACUUUUAGCUCAUCAAUAAUAUUUACUUCCACUGAAGAUGUAUAAAUAUAAGUGGUCCUGAAUGUUUCAUAGGCAUUUUUUGUUGAGUAAUAAUUUUAUGGUUGUUAUCCUGUAGCAGUUCAAACACACCUAAACUUUUGUGUUAUUUCAAAGGUCAUGCUUGCUUCUGAAUAUUUUUCUUUUCCAUUAAAGUGUCAUAUUUUGAUGGAAUAAAAAUAUUCUUGCUUUUA